GACGAACGCUGGCGGCGUGCUUAACACAUGCCAGUCGAACGGAAAGGCCCUGCUUUUGUGGGGUGCUCGAGUGGCGAACGGGUGCGUAACACGUGAGUAACCUGCCCUUGACUUUGGGAUAACUUCAGGAAACUGGGGCUACUACCGGAUAGGAGCUCCUGUUGCAUGGUGGGGGUUGGAAAGUUUCGGCGGUUGGGGAUGGACUCGCGGCUUAUCAGCUUGUUGGUGGGGUAGUGGCUUACCAAGGCUUUGACGGGUAGCCGGCCUGAGAGGGUGACCGGCCACAUUGGGACUGAGAUACGGCCCAGACUCCUACGGGGGGCAGCAGUGGGGAAUAUUGCACAAUGGGCGGAAGCCUGAUGCAGCAACGCCGCGUGCGGGAUGACGGCCUUCGGGUUGUAAACCGCUUUCGCCUGUGACGAAGCGUGAGUGACGGUAAUGGGUAAAGAAGCACCGGCUAACUACGUG
rnacentral:rRNA from 1 species